AUUGAACGCUGGCGGCAGGCCUAACACAUGCAAGUCGAGCGGAUGAAGGGAGCUUGCUCCUGGAUUCAGCGGCGGACGGGUGAGUAAUGCCUAGGAAUCUGCCUGGUAGUGGGGGAUAACGUCCGGAAACGGGCGCUAAUACCGCAUACGUCCUGAGGGAGAAAGUGGGGGAUCUUCGGACCUCACGCUAUCAGAUGAGCCUAGGUCGGAUUAGCUAGUUGGUGGGGUAAAGGCCUACCAAGGCGACGAUCCGUAACUGGUCUGAGAGGAUGAUCAGUUACACUGGAACUGAGACACGGUCCAGACUCCUACGGGAGGCAGCAGUGGGGAAUAUUGGACAAUGGGCGAAAGCCUGAUCCAGCCAUGCCGCGUGUGUGAAGAAGGUCUUCGGAUUGUAAAGCACUUUAAGUUGGGAGGAAGGGCAGUAAGUUAAUACCUUGCUGUUUUGACGUUACCAACGGAAUAAGCACCGGCUAACUUCGUG
rnacentral:rRNA from 1 species